ensembl:lncRNA
AUGCCCGAGCUGGAGCCCAGGGCGCAGCUGCGGCCCCGGAUCCGGCAGCCCCGGCGUUCCCGGCUGUUGUUGUGCCGGGGCUGUGGCACGGACGUGGGCACGGAUGCGGGCACGGGAAUGCGGACGUGGCCUGGGCAUCGUCACCGCCACGGCUCUUCCCACACAAAAUGGUUCCCGGCGUUGAUCCCGCCGGAAAAGCCGCUGAUCCGCCUACAAGCCCUUUCCUUCCCGGCAGCUCCGCGCCAAGGCGUGGGGUGUGGGUUAUGGGGCAGGUGCCACCACCCCCUGUGCCACCACGGAUGUCCCCAAGCCCUCGGGACUCCCUUGGUGCCGCGUUCCGGGAUGGCGCCGCGGCCGUGUCCAGCGGCUCCACGGUGGGAAAGUGGCUCCGGGAUUGGGGUCCCUUUCCCAAAUCGGUGUUUGGUCCCCAUUCCCACCAUCCCAGUGUCGGAUCCACCGCCUCAUCCCGGUUCCUCUGUCCUCAUCCCAAAUCUGCCGAUCCUACGGGCAGCGCCGCCAUUCCAAUACCAGCGCCGCCAUUCCAAUACCAGCGCCGCUAUUCCAAUGCCAGCGCCGCUAUUCCCAUCCCAGCGCCGCCAUUCCCAUCCCAGCGCCGCCAUUCCCAUCCCAGCGCUGCCAUUCCAAUGCCAGUUCCACCAUUCCCAUCCCAGCGCCGCCAUUCCCAUCCCAGCACCGCCAUUCCCAUCCCAGCGCUGCCUUUCCCAUCCCAGCACUGCCAUUCCAAUGCCAGCACUGCCAUUCCCAUCCCAGCACUGCCAUUCCCAUCCCGAAACCACCAUUCCCAUCCCAGCUCCACCAUUCCCAUCCCAGCUCCACCAUUCCCAUCCCAGCGCUGCCAUUCCCAUCCCAGCUCUGCCAUUCCCAUCCCAACACCACCAUUCCCAUCCCAGCCCCACCAUUCCCAUCCCAACACCACCAUUCCCAUCCCAGNNNNNNNNNNNNNNNNNNNNUCCAAUACCAGCGCCGCUAUUCCAAUGCCAGCGCCGCUAUUCCCAUCCCAGCGCCGCCAUUCCUAUCCCAGCGCCGCCAUUCCCAUCCCAGCGCUGCCAUUCCCAUUCCAGCGCCGCUAUUCCCAUUCCAGCUCCACCAUUCCCAUUCCAGCACCGCCAUUCCAAUACCAGCUCCACCAUUCCCAUCCCAGCUCCACCAUUCCCAUACCAGCUCCGCCAUUCCCAUCCCAGCUCCACCAUUCCUAUCCCAGCGCCGCCAUUCCCAUUGCAGCUCCGCCAUUCCAGUCCCGAUGCCAUCAUUCCCAUCCCGAAACCACCAUUCCCAUCCCGACACCACCGUUCCCAUCCCAGCGCCGCCAUUCCAAUCCCAGCACUGCCAUUCCAAUCCCGGUGCCACCAUUCCCAUUCCAGUGUCCCCAUUCCUUUCCCUGUGCUGCCAUUCCCAUUGCAGUGCCACCAUUCCAGUCCCGAUGCCAUCAUUCCAAUCCCAGUGCCACCAUUCCCAUCCCGAAACCACCAUUCCCAUCCCAGCACCACCAUUUCCAUUCCAGCACCCCCAUUCCCAUCUCCACCUUCCCCAAUCCCAUCCCAGCACCCCCAUUCCCAUUCCAGCUCCACCAUUCCCAUCCCAACACCACCAUUCCCAUUCCAGCUCCACCAUUCCCAUUCCAGCUCCACCAUUCCCAUCCCAUCCCAGCUCCACUAUUCCCAUCCCGACACCACCAUUCCCAUCUCAGAGCCCCCAUUCCCAUUCCAGCGCCCCCAUUCCCAUCUCCACCUUCCCCACCCCAUCUCCAUCACCCCACUCCCGGCUCCUCCUGGCUGUUUUCCCCCUUCCUAUCCCGGGAAUUUUAUAAUCCCGUCAUGCCGGACUCAGCCACAGGGAGGGAGAGCCAUUGAGCUCCAGCCGGGAUCUCUCCAGAAUUGGGAUCCAGCAUCCCAAAAUCAGGGCCUGGCUUGGGGCUUGAGGAACUUCCUGGCUGGAUUUUAA